rnacentral:rRNA from 1 species
UGGGGAAUAUUGCGCAAUGGGGGAAACCCUGACGCAGCGACGCCGUGUGAGGGAAGAAGGCUUUCGGGUCGUAAACCUCUGUCAGAAAGGAAGAACCUCCCAAGUCCGAAUAGGGCUUGGGACUGACGGUACUUUCAAAGGAAGCACCGGCUAACUCCGUGCCAGCAGCCGCGGUAAUACGGAGGGUGCAAGCGUUAAUCGGAAUCACUGGGCGUAAAGCGCGCGUAGGCCGCUUUGUAAGUCGGGCGUGAAAGCCCUCGGCCCAACCGGGGAACUGCGUUCGAUACUGCGAGGCUUGAGUCCUGGAGAGGGUGGCGGAAUUCCGGGUGUAGGAGUGAAAUCCGUAGAUAUCCGGAGGAACACCGGUGGCGAAGGCGGCCACCUGGACAGGUACUGACGCUGAGGCGCGAAAGCGUGGGGAGCAAACAGGA